GGUAAUACGGAGGAUGCGAGCGUUAUCCGGAUUUAUUGUGUUUGUAGGGUGCGUAGGCGGGCUUUUAAGUCAGCGGUAAAAAUUCGGGGCUCAACCCCGUCCGGCCGUUGAAACUGGGGGUCUUGAGUGGGCGAGAAGUAUGCGGAAUGCGUGGUGUAGCGGUGAAAUGCAUAGAUAUCACGCAGAACUCCGAUUGCGAAGGCAGCAUACCGGCGCCCUACUGACGCUGAGGCACGAAAGCGUGGGGAUCGAACA
rnacentral:rRNA from 1 species